GACGAACGCUGGCGGCGUGCCUAAUACAUGCAAGUUGAGCGAUGAAGCUUGGUGCUUGCACCAAUUUGAAGAGCAGCGAACGGGUGAGUAACGCGUGGGGAAUCUGCCUUUGAGCGGGGGACAACAUUUGGAAACGAAUGCUAAUACCGCAUAAUAACUUUAAACAUAAGUUUUAAGUUUGAAAGAUGCAAUUGCAUCACUCAAAGAUGAUCCCGCGUUGUAUUAGCUAGUUGGUGAGGUAAAGGCUCACCAAGGCGAUGAUACAUAGCCGACCUGAGAGGGUGAUCGGCCACAUUGGGACUGAGACACGGCCCAAACUCCUACGGGAGGCGGCAGUAGGGAAUCUUCGGCAAUGGACGAAAGUCUGACCGAGCAACGCCGCGUGAGUGAAGAAGGUUUUCGGAUCGUAAAACUCUGUUGGUAGAGAAGAACGUUGGUGAGAGUGGAAAGCUCAUCAAGUGACGGUAACUACCCAGAAAGGGACGGCUAACUACGUG
rnacentral:rRNA from 1 species